UAUUCCCUCUGCAGCUGUAAUAGGUAUUCAGGGGUGGGGGCAACGAAUUGGUAUUCACUGUUUACUAAUUUCUUCUCCCCAAAAUUUCAGACCAAAAUAUCCUGCUUUCUUCUCCCCAAAAAGUUUGCUCCAGAUUUCAUAUCCCCAAAUCAAGUAUCGAUUCGCCUUCAUCUUCAUCUCCCCAAAGCGACUGACAAACAAUAGAGGGAAGGGAGGUAAUCUUUUUUUAUAGUCAUCAAGCUUCAUCCUCUCCGACGUUUCCCUUCCAUUGAUUGCAGAGCUCAUGGUGACAAUUUUGCUGUGAAAAGAAUGAGAAAGCUGACCCAAAGGAGAGCUGUUGAUUAUACUAGUACUGUUGUGCGAUAUAUGCAGGUAUUUUUUUCAUGUUUAGUUGUUUUCAUAAGCGUUUUUUUUCUAUAUCUUUCUAUAAGUUGUUGCAUGGUCAGAUUGGUGAAUUUGAUUAACAUGGAUGCUUAUGUUUGUUCUUAGAUGGCUUAAAUGUCUCUUCAUUAUUGUGGUUGUUGGCCUUCUCUUUAUCAAUAUGGGCAUUGAUUUCUCUAUCAUAGAAAUCAGUUUGCUUUUUAAUUCUGUAGCCUUUUGCUCAAGUUUAUUAUUCAAUGUACUUGGCAGCUAUAUUUUAAAGUUUAUAAAGCUCUGUAGCACUAUUAUAGCCAUAAUUGUAUCUUUAUGAUAGCUUAACUUAUGGAGUUGUUUUUCAGAUUGCUGCUGGAAAAUCCAUUAAUAUAGAGGCAAAAUGACUUGGUCUUGCUUGCCAUUGAUGUAUGGUGUUAAGAUGUUCUUUUUUUGCUUCAUGGGAAAAAUAUUAAUAAGUUGAUGUCUUUUUAUGUCAUAUUUUUCCUAGUUGCUAAGAGUAGCUCCUCUUUAUCAUAGUUUGGACCAAUGCCAAUUGACUUUGUGUUCAUCACUAUUCAGUUCAUGAUUCAUGAGUAGAACCGAUCAUUACACCCAUAAUCCUUGUUCGUGCUUAGGGGUGUAAUGGUUUAUAUCCUUAGGAUGAAGGUGAGAAGGUCUUUAUUUUGUUUGAAUACAUUUUCUCCUCUAUUGAUAUUAAAUGCAAUUUUUUCCCUUUUGAAUCUCAAAUGAUGUUGACGUCUUUAUAUCUAAUAGCAGUGGUUUUGCAAAUUCGAAUGUCACAGCAAGAUUCACGGGACAGGACAACAUUGUAGAUUCGAAUGUUCUAACUUUUUGAUGUUGUAAAACUGUAUAACAUAUGGAUUAUGACAUAGAAUUUCAUGAAAUUCAUGUAACAUUUUGUUAAUAUAUGAAUAUUAUGUUUAUGCAAAAUAUAAUUCUCAAGUUAUUUAUUACUGCUAA